UCUCCAUUAGUUCAGUGAUAGAAUAUCCGCCGUCCGGUGUGCGGAAGGUCAUAGGUUCGAGUCCUGUUGGGAGAA